AAAUAAUUUAUUAUAGUUAAUAAAAUUUAUUAUAAAUUUAUUUUACAUAUAAAUUUUAGUAAAAAUUUUUAAUUAUUUAAAUAAUAAUUAAAUUUAUAUUAAUAGUAAUUAAUAUUAAAAAUUUAAGAAAUUAAGAUUUAGUAAUAUAAAAAUUAAAAACUAAAUUUGUGCCGGCAGUUGCGGUUAUACAAAUUUUAAAGUAAAUUUUUUUAGUUAAAAUAAGUAAUUUAAUUUAAAUUAAAUGUUAAAUUAUUAAGUGAAAUUUUAAUUUAAUUAAAAUUUAUUUUGAAAUUAUUUAUUAAUAAAUUUUAUUAUAAACUAGGAUUAGAUACCCUAUUAUUAAAAAUUUAAAUAAAAAAGACUAAAAUAGUAAAUAAUAAUUUAUUAAAACUUAAAUAAUUUGGCGGUAUUUUAGUUCAUUUAGAGGAAUCUGUUUAAUAAUUGAUAAUCCACGAAUAAAUUUACUUAAUUUUUUUUUUAUUUUGUAUAUCGUUGUUAUAAAAAUAUUUUUUAGUAAAAAUAAUAUUUAAAAAUUUUAAUUAAAAUUUAAAUCAGAUCAAGAUGCAGAUUAUAAUUAAGAAUAUAAUGGAUUACAAUAAAUUUAUUUAUAUGAAUUAUAAAUUGAAAAAUUUAUUUGAAAGUGGAUUUAAAUGUAAUUUUAAUUAAUUUGUUAAAAUGAUUAAAAAUUAAAAUAUGUACAUAUUGCCCGUCGCUUCCAUUAAUAAAUUGGAAUAAGUCGUAACAAAGUAGAGGUACUGGAAAGUGUUUCUAGAAUGAA
rnacentral:ncRNA from 1 species